rnacentral:lncRNA from 1 species
GGCCCCGCCCCCGCCCCUGCCCCGGGGCAGCCUGUGCUGUUCCGUGUGCGCGGCGCAUACGCACCUGGGUUGUCUCGAGCCUGCGGUAGUGGCCAGAUCCCAGACAUCCGAGUAGAUCCCGUGAAAAGGUCUCCCACGUGGGCUGUGGACAGGGCCCAAGGGUAGCAGAGCUAGCAGAGGCAGUGACGGACUGUGUGGCAGCUUCUUCUUGGUUUCUUCGUACAUUCUGGAUCCACCCCUUUCAUGCAUAUUCCAGACCACAUUUCCACUGGAGCAGUUGAAAUGAGAGAGAUGGGAAUGGGACUCACCCGAACCAGAGGAAUUUUUAUUACAGACCCAUUAACAGAGGUGUCAAAGUCACAGGAACAAGGAUGUGCACCUCAGAAACACAGAGGUCAGUGGAAAAUCAGUUUGCUUCUAUUUGUUUAAAAAAUGGGGGACUUAUGCAUAAAUCUAAGACCUUCUUGAAUCUAACAUUCUAAGACCUGUAUGCCACAGAAAGGAGGGUCUCAGAACGCCGGAGGAUAGUAUUUAAAUCUUAAAUAUCUAUAUUGUUCUCCACAGUUACUGGGUCACCACAUAGCAGGCAUUCAAUAAAAACGUGUUUGUUUACUAAGUAAU